rnacentral:piRNA from 1 species
UGCAGGGGGACCCAAGUGCAUCUCUCCCCUC